CAAAGAGUCCAAACUCCAAAAUUUAAACCAAUCAACCAAGGGCUGAACGGAACUGCUGAAGUGGACUGGUGCCUGGCUAAGUGGUGCGAGUUGAGUGGAUGGUGAGUUGAUGACCGGUGAGCUGUGAGCAACGAGGAGGUGGACGAUGGAGUGGUGCGAUCCUGAGAGUUGAGUGGACGUCGAUGGCUGCGAGUGCGACUCCUUGCCUUGGACUAUGUUGCAACUCUGUUGUAUGCAGGGGCAGAGCCCAAUGAGGUCCAAUGCAGGACUGGACUUUCGGGCCCAACCCAUUUUUCCCCUUCUUUUAGGAAUUGGCCCAGCCAAGAAACCCAAAUCCAAUUCAAUUAUCCAACCCAUACCGAUACCCCAUUCGUUGCAUUCAACUCUCAGUUCACCCAUUUCUUCUCCUUCCACCCCGCCAUUCGAUUUCCAAGACACUCACAAACAUUGCAUGGCAGACUACUCAAUCUCUGCCGUUUCGCUCCGCCAUUCAACGUCUCAACCUCUUAAAAACUCUCACCUAGAGCCGUCUUUCCCCAACCUCGGAACUUUUUGCGAUUCUUUUCAUUUUCGAGCCCUAGACGGUAGUCUUCAGAUGCCUUCGAUUCCAUUGGCGACUCCAUAGACGGUAGCGCAGCAGAAGAAGAAGUAUUAAAUUCACGGUGGAAUUGUUCAGUGAAUAGCUCUAUGGAGUUGAGCCCGGUUGCGAGGCUUCGCCAACUGAGAAUAGCUGAGCGGGAGGGUACUUUGUUGCGAGAGCUACUUGAGUUAGAGAACAAGAGAGAGAGGAAAGGAUCGGGCAAAUUGGAUAUGCUCUUGCUCCUAUGAUUGUUAGGGAUGUGAUGUUGGGUGCUGACCAAUCCAUCAUCCUUAUUCCUUCACAUGCUAGAUAUUCCUCAUGCUGCUGAGGCGCUAAAUGGAGUGAGAUCAGAUUGGUCAAUGCUGCAUUCCCUCUUCUCAAAGGUUAGUAAUUUACUUCUAAGUAGUGAAAAAAAUAGUCAAUAGUUUCAUGUAUUUUGACAUUUUGUACGCCAGAUAAGAUAUAGGUUAAAACUUACAAGUGGAUAACUUGUAUCUAUCUAUCUAUUAUGCUAUUUAAAUCACGUGGUGUUGCAACAACUAAUGUUGUUGAAGCAUGCAAUGGAGUCAACAUUACAAUGAUGGUUGGUGGUUUCCCCUGGAAAGAGGAAAGAUGUGAAUCAUGUGAUAUUAAAGAAUGUUUCAUAUACAAAUCUCAGGCUUCAGUUCUUGAGAAGCGUGCUGUUGCCAACUGCAAGGUAAUUGGAUUAGUUGUGUCAUUUUUAGUAUUGCUGUAAUAUUGUUUUGUAUUUUUAUCAUCAUUAAAUUCAUAGUCAAAAAAUCAAAAUUCGACAUUAAA